UACGUAGGUGACGAGCGUUAUCCGGAAUACUGGGCGUAAAGCGCACGCAAGCGGUCUGACAAGUCUGGCGUGAAAUUCUCUGGCUUAACCCAGGGGGGGUCGCUGGAAACUGUUGGGCUUGAGGCGAUGAGAGGGUGCAGAAUCCCGGUGUAGUGGUGGAAUGCGUAGAGAUCGGGAGGAAUACCAGUGGCGAAAGCGGCACCCUGGCGUCGUAC
rnacentral:rRNA from 1 species